rnacentral:lncRNA from 1 species
CACUAAGAUCAACUUUAAACCCUUCUCUGCCUUGACAUGGUACCAGAGGAAUCUACAUGAACAAGGUUUAUUAAUUGCUUUUCUCUGCCAUUCCUUUACCUUCCCACAGUUGCUAGCCCUAGAGACUCAAAGUCCUUUUCUUUUGUCUUGUCACCACCUCUUUGAACAUUACUUAUUUCCCUUGCAUCAUCUGUGUAUAUAUGAGAUAUACGUAUUAAUACACUUCUGUUUCUUUUUCUCUUGUUAAUCUCUUGCAAGGAUUCUUUCCAACUAAAUGUAUGAGGAACGAAGAAAAGAUUACGUUUCUUCUCCUUCAUCUUGUGUUAUUGAUAAAUGAUUACAACUAAUUGGUUGUUAGUUUAUUGACGGCAGAGAUUUUCUUAUUUAUGUCAAAUUCUCUAUUCCUAGCAGGAUACUUGAAAAGACCUGGCACUCAGUGCAUAUGGGAAGUACGAGGGGUGAAAAGAAGGGAGGACUCAGAACCCGAGACCUGCUGAAGGAAUCUGACCUGACACCCUCUACCAGAACCAAUGAUGAAGACUCUCCUGUAUCACCACGUUCAGGGAGGUGGCUCUGUGGCAAAGAGGGGCAGCCUCGGAAGAUGCGUCUUAGGAGUGUGUAUAGGAUUAGCUAUUGUCCUCUGUGGCUGCUUUACAUCAUCUUACAAGGAAUACUGCACCUGGAAAAGAAGAAUGCACCGGAUCUGAAUUUGACGUGGAUGUAAUCAAGUGCUGCUAGCUGAACAUUCUUUAAGGAUCUGACCGUUCACAUCUAAGUGCAACCUUUAGCUAGAGAGAAGUAGGCCCACUCCAUCCAUUCAAUGACAGUUACCAGCUUUCCUGAAGAAGCAAGAUGCAACAGGUGAUUUUGACUCAGUGCACACUAUUUUCAGGGUAAGAGUUAAUUUGUGUUACCAAAUGCUAUAUUCCAUCUAUCACUUCCCUGACUACAUAAGCCCAGAGGAGUCUUACAUGUGAGACUUUUGUUUGUUUGUUUAGUGGCCCAGACCAAUAUUUGAAAUAGAGAUACUUUGUUCAAUUCAAAUGUGUGGGAAGCACGUAACCAGCCUUCACUGAGUGCCUGUACAAUAAGUUAAGGCUUCACACUGUUGGCAGUUGAUAUGGUUUGACUGUGUCCCCACCCAAAUCUCAUCUUCAAUUGUGACUUCCAUAAUGUCCACCUGUCUUGGGAGGAACCCAGUGGGAGGUAAUUGAAUCAUGACGGCAAGUUUUUCCCAUUCUGUUCUCGUGAUAGGAACCCAGUGGGAGGUAAUUGAAUCACGAGGGCAAGUGUUUCCC